UGGUCUUAACUUCCUUUUCAGGUGUUAAGUCUUUUGUGGUGGUGGCUCCCAGAUACUUAAAACUUGUUACUUUUUCUAGGUUUUCAUUGCUGAUCUUCACAUCAACAUUGCUGUCAAUGACCUUGGAAGCUCUUACAACCUAUGGAUACAAUUAAUACCCUCAGUUUUGUGGCUGUAUGCUUCUAUUCAAGGUGGUGGAGGAGCCCAGGAUGGACUUGGUGGAUCUGUCUGCUGUCAUCAAGAAAGGCACAGACCAAGACCAGGACUCCAGAUGCUAACCACUAGGUUAAGUUGCCUUCCUGUAGAAGUCAUUAAGGACCAGAUUUCCAGACAGAAUCAUGGAAUGCAGAAGCAACCACAGAAAAGAUCAUCAAUAAAAAGGGCACCUGUAAAAUCUGUGCUCAGAUUUUGGAUGAGGGAGUAUGCUGCUGCUUGUUUUGUCACAACAAUUUGCUUGCCAAGUCAUACCGUAUUCUCCUCCCAAAAGUUUGCCCAAAACAGAGUCUGAUAUUGCAAGGGAACAGUAUUUCCUGCAAGACUGCAGACAACCUAAAUUUCUACAACCUGGCUUCAAUAAGAACAAGAGCUUUCUCAGCAGCUUGAAAGAUUAACUGAGAAACAAAGAACUUCCCAAGCCGUAUGAACACCAUUCCAUCAAAUCACAGCACAAUAAAGAAAUUAUUAAGAAUUGGCA
rnacentral:lncRNA from 1 species